AAUCCCAUCAGCAACCAGACUCAACAUCUGGACAUCACUCACCUCUGUCACACAUGUUCAGGAAGUAUUGAAAUCUAAAGCAGAACGCUGAACUUUAAAGAUUCUUCAAGUGUGUUUUUUGUUCUAGUGUUUUUAUCAUAAUAAAUACCGAUGAUUAUUUUGACCUUC